rnacentral:lncRNA from 1 species
GAAGGAUGAUAGAGUCAGGAGGUAGGAUGGUAGAGUCAGGAGGUAGGAUAGUAGAGUCAGGAGGUAGGAUGAUAGAGUCAGAUUCUGAGAUGGUAGAGUCAUGAGGUAGUAUGAUAUAGUCAGGAGGUAGGAUGGUAGAGUCAGGUGGUAGGAUGGUAGAGUCAGGUGGUAGGAUGGUAGAGUCAGGUUGUGAGAUGGUAGAGUCAGGAGGUAGGAUGGUAAAGUCAGGAGGUAGGAUGGUAGAGUCAGGUGGUAGGAUGGUAGAGUCAGGUUGUGAGAUGGUAGAGUCAGGUUGUGAGAUGGUAGAGUCAGGAGGUAGGAUGGUAGAGUCAGGAGGUAGGAUGGUAGAGUCAGGUGGUAGGAUGGUAGAGUCAGGUUGUGAGAUGGUAGAGUCAGGUUGUGAGAUGGUAGUGUCAGGUUCUGAGAUGGUAGAGUCAGGGAUAAGUAGCUGGUUCUAUCUCACUGUUUUUGAGAUGGGGUUUGUG